UAUGAAAUGAAAUGAGAUAAUUUCAAUCUAGGCCAUUAUGUAAUUUCCUCCGCGGUUAACAGUAAGGCAUAUCAACAGUAUUAUAAUUGUAGUCGUGGCAUCAACCCCGUUUAUAUACCUUUUCUUCAUGAUUAACAUUGGCCAGGACUCCACAGGUGGAGAGAAACAUAUUUAAUAAUUUUGAUGCGCAUAAUUAUACCCAUGGCGAGUUGAAAUUCAGGGAAACAAUAAUACAGCAGAAAAAACAUACAAAUAUAAUAUGGUUUACUUUUGCCGAUUUUU